rnacentral:rRNA from 1 species
AUGACUGGCUUGCCCUCGGCCUUGGCCAGAAGCACACCAACGACGAGCAAACAGAGCACUACGUCGUCUACAACUAUGUCUUGCACAAUCCUUUCUCAAACAGGUCUCUGCCGCUGCCUGAGCUCGACGCCGUCAUCGUCCAAGAUAGCAACAGGAAGCAUCCGCUCAUUGUAUUCCAGUGAGGGAAGGGUGUGUGGUCGCCAGAGCCAUGGGCAACUCCAUAUACCUACCUCAUUGACAUCGCGUUUCUUGGUGAUAAACUAUAUGCCAUCACCACGGCUGAGGACCUCAUCCCCCUUGAUCUUGCAUUGGAUGAAGACGGAAGGCCUGUGGUUGCAAUGGGAACAUGUGUCAUCAAGAAAUCUCUCCGCUAUGAUUGUUAUGAAUUAUUGGCCACUUUUGAUGAAGAGGAUGAUGACCAGAAUGAAGAAGAGGAAGACGAUGAAGAUGAGGAAGAGGGAGAAAAUAAUCAUAUGCCCUACUAUAUGA